UGAACGCUGGCGGCGUGCCUACUACAUGCAAGUCGAGCGAACGGACGAGAAGCUUGCUUCUCUGAUGUUAGCGGCGGACGGGUGAGUAACACGUGGAUAACCUACCUAUAAGACUGGGAUAACUUCGGGAAACCGGAGCUAAUACCGGAUAAUAUUUUGAACCGCAUGGUUCAAAAGUGAAAGACGGUCUUGCUGUCACUUAUAGAUGGAUCCGCGCUGCAUUAGCUAGUUGGUAAGGUAACGGCUUACCAAGGCAACGAUGCAUAGCCGACCUGAGAGGGUGAUCGGCCACACUGGAACUGAGGCACGGUCCAGACUCCUACGGGAGGCAGCAGUAGGGAAUCUUCCGCAAUGGGCGAAAGCCUGACGGAGCAACGCCGCGUGAGUGAUGAAGGUCUUCGGAUCGUAAAACUCUGUUAUUAGGGAAGAACAUAUGUGUAAGUAACUGUGCACAUCUUGACGGUACCUAAUCAGAAAGCCACGGCUAACUACGUG
rnacentral:rRNA from 1 species